ACUCCUACGGGAGGCAGCAGUGGGGAAUAUUGCACAAUGGGCGCAAGCCUGAUGCAGCAACGCCGUGUGAGUGAAGAAGGUUUUCGGAUCGUAAAACUCUGUCCUAAGGGAAGAAAAAUGACGGUACCUUAGGAGGAAGCCCCGGCUAACUACGUGCCAGCAGCCGCGGUAAUACGUAGGGGGCAAGCGUUAUCCGGAAUCACUGGGCGUAAAGGGUGCGUAGGCGGCUUGACAAGCCAGGGGUGAAAGGCAUUGGCUCAACCAAUGUAAGCCUUUGGAACUGUUAAGCUUGAGUGCAGGAGAGGUAAGUGGAAUUCCUAGUGUAGAGGUGAAAUUCGUAGAUAUUAGGAGGAACACCAGUGGCGAAGGCGACUUACUGGACUGUAACUGACGCUGAUGCACGAAAGCGUGGGUAGCGAACAGGAUUAGAUACCCUGGUAGACUGUCA
rnacentral:rRNA from 1 species